rnacentral:lncRNA from 1 species
UAGCACAUUUCUAAGUUUAUGUCACAAAAUAGCCCUCAAAAACUAAAAUGACCAAAAUAGCAUUUUAUCUUUAGAAAAAUUUAAUUUUUUUUUAUUUUUCAAAAUUUGAAAUCUUAUCCUAAAACCCCACUCCCCAACUCUAAACCCUAAAACCUAAACUCUAAACCCUAAAUUCUAAACCCUAAACCCUAAAUCCUAAACCCCACCCCUUAACUCUAAACCCUAAACCCUAAACCCCACCCCUAAACUCUAAACCCUAAACCCUAAACUGUAAACCCUAAACCCUAAACCCUAAAUCCUAAAUCCUAAACCCUACCCCUUAACUCUAAACCCUAAUGUCUAAAUUAACUUACCAUUGGGGUAUAAGUGUAUAUUUAUCUCUUUUGAUAAAACAUUAAGUACUAUUUUGGUCAUUUUUAUUCUU